rnacentral:rRNA from 1 species
GAUGAACGCUGGCGGCGUGCCUAAUACAUGCAAGUCGAGCGGACGGACGCGAAGCUUGCUGCUCUGUUGUUAGCGGAGGACGGGUGAGUAACGCGUGUAUAACCUACCUAUCAGACGGGGAACACUUCGGGAAACCGGAGAUAAUACCGGAUAAUCUUUUGAACCGCAUGGUUCAAAAGUGAAAGUCGGCCUUGCUGUCACUUAUAGAUGCAUCCGCGCUGCAUUAGCUAGUUGGUAAGGUAACGGCUUACUACGGCUAGGAUGCAUAGCCGAGCUGUGAGGGUGGUCGGCCACACUGGAACUUAGACGCGGUCCUUACUCCUACGGGAGGCCGCAGUAUGCAAUGUUCCGCAAUGGGCGAAAGCCUUACGGAGCAGGGCCACGCGAGUUAUGGCGGCGUCCGGUGCGUAAUACUCUGUUAUUAGUGAUGAACAUCUGUGUAAGGAACUGAGCACUUCUUGACGGUACCUAAUCAGAAAGCCCCGGCUAACUACGUG